AAUCAAGUGUUGUGGCUAUUUCUCUUUUGCAAAAAGCACACAUUCUUGGUGGAGAGGAGAGUUCUUUAUAAGCUCAGGCUUGUGAACUGUGCUUGUCACAACUUUGUUGUCUGCUCCCUCGGAGGAUUCUGAGAGUACCAGAAAACUCGGAUGUGAGGGCAGUCUGGCUGCGACAUCUGUCAUCCCAUUGAUCGCCAGGGUUGAUUUGGCUGAUCUGGCUGGCUAGGCGGGUGUCCCCUUCCUCCCUCACCACUCCAUGUGCGUUCCUCCUGAAGCUGGGCGCUCGGUGGAAGAGGACGACCAUCCCCGAUAGAGGAGGACCGUUCUACUCAGUCAAGGGUGAAAAUGCGUCAGGCUUGAGGGGGAAAAUCCAUUUACUGAGGAAACUCCGUCUGACUCUGCACCCAACGAGCCCAUGACUCCGGCCCCCUCACCCGCCCAGCGACCGGAGACGUUUGCCAGUCGCC